rnacentral:RNase_P_RNA from 1 species
GAGGAAAGUCCGGGCUCUGAUUAGAAAUAGAUAGUUGUUUGAAAAACAGUACAGGAAACUGUGAGGACAGUGCCACAGAAAUAUACCGCCAAUUUUAUAUUGGCAAGGGUGCAAUAGUGUGGUAAAAGCGCACUAUGAAUAUUUUUAAGAUAUUUAUUAGGUAAACCCCGUGACAGAGCAAAGUUUUUAUAUUUUUUAUAUUUUUCCAUGAAUAUAGAAAGAGUUAUAUAAUAAUUUAAUACUGCUAGUAGUUUAUUCUUUAACUUAAGAUUAAUAAUUACCCUUAUAAUAUUUAUUUAUUGUAAGAACAAAAUCCGGCUUAU